rnacentral:tRNA from 2 species
GGAGGGCUGCGCCGAAUGGUAAGGCACCAGUUUGCUAAACUGUGACCAUGUGAAUGGUCCUGUGGGUUCGAGCCCCACGCCCUCCGCCA